rnacentral:rRNA from 1 species
AUUGAACGCUGGCGGCACGCCUUACACAUGCAAGUCGAACGGUAACAGGUCUUCGGAUGCUGACGAGUGGCGAACGGGUGAGUAAUACAUCGGAACGUGCCUAGUAGUGGGGGAUAACUACUCGAAAGAGUGGCUAAUACCGCAUGAGAUCUACGGAUGAAAGCAGGGGAUCGCAAGACCUUGUGCUACUAGAGCGGCCGAUGGCAGAUUAGGUAGUUGGUGGGAUAAAAGCUUACCAAGCCGACGAUCUGUAGCUGGUCUGAGAGGACGAUCAGCCAAACUGGGACGGAGACACGGCCCAGACUCCUACGGGAGGCAGCAGUGGGGAAUUUUGGACAAUGGGCGCAAGCCUGAUCCAGCAAUGCCGCGUGCAGGAUGAAGGCCUUCGGGUUGUAAACUGCUUUUGUACGGAACGAAAAGCCCCGGGUUAAUACCCUGGGGUCAUGACGGUACCGUAAGAAUAAGCACCGGCUAACUACGUGCCAGCCGCCGCCGUAA